GAAUCCAUCCAAGAAACAGAAACAGAAAAAUUUGCUAAUGCCAGUAUUCUAUAUUUCUAUUAGUAUUUGCUAAAUAUCUGACUGAUAAUUAGGCCCAUUACAUGUAUACAUUUAUUUUCAUGCAGUCCAAAAACAACAUGAUUUUUAUUUAUAUAUUUUGGGCUAUUCAGAAUGUACAACACUUUUCGAAGUGGUGUUUGUCUGCAAUAUUCUGAUUUUGAUCUUCAGUGGAGUAGUGAACAUUAUUCUAUGCGAACGGCUGAGGAGAAGAAAAUGUGAACUGUGUGCUGCACAUCAGAGAAGCUUUCAUUCUCUGGCUGUCCCUCCUCAACCAAACUCGCCAGCGUCUGAUACCAGUAGUCAUCUUGAUCAAGAGAGUACGGAGCUUAACUACACAAUGCUACAGUUCCCCGAAGACAACACAAGAACAGAGAACUCAGAGAAUGAGCAGAGAGAGAAGAGCAGAAAGGACACAGUCUAUUCCAGCCUUAAAUGUCAAAUCUCAAACAUCACUGAGGAAAAUUAAUAUUUUCAGAGCUCCACAGCACAGAUUUCUGGCAGUUCCUCCUCCACAGACCAGGCUUUUUAUUGAAGAUCAUCACCACUGACCCAGAACCAAUGACCAGCCAUAAAGCGCAGGCCAGUCCACACAUAAGCUGUCUGAGAUGUUAUAGUGUUGUUAUUUAUCACCUCUGUUACAAUGAUCUUGGAGUUUAGUCUCACCACAUCAGUGUGUGUUGUCUGCAGUAGUCCAGGGCAGCUGCACAAUGUAAGCUGUAAUGUAAUGUAUGAAUGUAAAUGUAAUGGCAGCUGUCUGUAAGGGCAGGUGGGGCUCCAAAACAAAUACCUCUAUAUAAACUGUAUCAGUAAUAAAUUGUAAAUAUUUUCAGUAUUCUAUAAUAAAUAUUUCUGAAUU